rnacentral:rRNA from 1 species
UAAUACGGAGGGUGCGAGCGUUAAUCGGAAUUACUGGGCGUAAAGCGUACGCAGGCGGUUUGUUAAGCGAGAUGUGAAAGCCCCGGGCUCAACCUGGGAACUGCAUUUCGAACUGGCAAACUAGAGUAUGAUAGAGGGUGGUAGAAUUUCAGGUGUAGCGGUGAAAUGCGUAGAGAUCUGAAGGAAUACCGAUGGCGAAGGCAGCCACCUGGGUCAAUACUGACGCUCAUGUACGAAAGCGUGGGGAGCAAACGGGAUUAGAUACCCCGGUAGUCCACGCCGUAAACGAUGUCUACUAGGAGCUGGGGUCUUCGGGCAACUUUUCCAAAGCUAACGCAUUAAGUAGACCGCCUGGGGAGUACGGCCGCAAGGUUAAAACUCAAAUGAAUUGACGGGGGCCCGCACAAGCGGUGGAGCAUGUGGUUUAAUUCGAUGCAACGCGAAGAACCUUACCUACACUUGACAUACAGAGAACUUACCAGAGAUGGUUUGGUGCCUUCGGGAACUCUGAUACAGGUGCUGCAUGGCUGUCGUCAGCUCGUGUUGUGAGAUGUUGGGUUAAGUCCCGCAACGAGCGCAACCCCUAUCCUUAGUUGCCAGCGAUUCGGUCGGGAACUCUAAGGAGACUACCGGUGAUAAACCGGAGGAAGGUAGGGACGACGUCAAGUCAUCAUGGCCCUUACGUGUAGGGCUACACACGUGCUACAAUGGCGUAUACAGAGUGCUGCGAACUUGCGAGAGUAAGCGAAUCACUUAAAGUACGUCGUAGUCCGGAUUGGAGUCUGCAACUCGACUCCAUGAAGUCGGAAUCGCUAGUAAUCGCGGAUCAGAAUGCCGCGGUGAAUACGUUCCCGGGCCUUGUACACACCGCCCGUCACACCAUGGGAGUGGGUUGCUCCAGAAGUAGGUAGCUUAACCUCAGGGAGGGCGCUUACCACGGAGUGAUUCAUGACUGGGGUGAAGUCGUAACAAGGUAGCCG